GAUGAACGCUGGCGGCGUGCCUAAUACAUGCAAGUCGAGCGAACGGACGAGAAGCUUGCUUUUCUGAUGUUAGCGGCGGACGGGUGAGUAACACGUGGAUAACCUACCUAUAAGACUGGGAUAACUUCGGGAAACCGGAGCUAAUACCGGAUAAUAUUUUGAACCGCAUGGUUCAAAAGUGAAAGACGGUCUUGCUGUCACUUAUAGAUGGAUCCGCGCUGCAUUAGCUAGUUGGUAAGGUAACGGCUUACCAAGGCAACGAUGCAUAGCCGACCUGAGAGGAGGAUCGGCCACACUGGAACUGAGACACGGUCCAGACUCCUACGGGAGGCAGCAGUAGGGAAUCUUCCGCAAGGGGCGAAAGCCUGACGGAGCAACGCCGCGUGAGUGAUGAAGGUCUUCGGAUCGUAAAACUCUGUUAUUAGGGAAGAACAUAUGUGUAAGUAACUGUGCACAUCUUGACGGUACCUAAUCAGAAAGCCACGGCUAACUACGUG
rnacentral:rRNA from 1 species